AAGAGAGUGAGCCAGUUAAGACUUGCAGUGAUGUUUAGGUAAUCUGACCCAUGAACAUCACUUUAAGUCUGUGCUGGCUCAGCUUUCACC
rnacentral:pre_miRNA from 8 species